UAUCUCUGUAGAGUCUGCAUAUCAAUAAGCGGAGGAAAAGAAACUAACAAGGAUUCCCCUAGUAACGGCGAGUGAAGCGGGAAGAGCUCAAAUUUGAAAUCUUAAAGGGUUUCCCUUUACGAAUUGUAGUUUAAAGAAGUGUUUCUCUGUUGAGGUUUUGGUAAAAGUUCUUUGGAAUAGGACAUCAUAGAGGGUGAGAAUCCCGUAUUUGACCUUUACUUUCAACUUUGUGAUACACUUUCAAAGAGUCGGAUUGUUUGGGAAUGCAGUCCAAAAUGGGUGGUAAAUUUCAUCUAAAGCUAAAUAUUGGCGAGAGACCGAUAGCGAACAAGUACCGUGAGGGAAAGAUGAAAAGAACUUUGAAAAGAGAGUUAAACAGUACGUGAAAUUGUCAAAAGGGAAGCGUUUGACACCAGUGUUGUUUUUUCUGAAAAUCAAUUAAAGAACUGUUUAUGCUAAGUUGUUUAGACUUUAUCAGCUAACUGUUUAGUUUUGAGCUUUUCUUUAAUGCACUUUUCAGUUAACAAGUCAACAUCAAUUUCUUUUGCUGUAAAAUAGCUUGAGGAAGGUGGCUUGAGAUUCGUCUUAAGUGUUUAUAGCCUCUUGCCUAUGCAGUCGGAGAGAUUGAGGUCUGCAGCGUAGAUCCUUCGGGGCUAAAUGCAUUUGUGCUAAGUUAUAAGCAUUUUAUAGACAACUUGUUGACUAUGAUUUGUCUUGUAGCUUACUCGCUUAUGUUAUUUUACCUACGCUUAGGAUGUUGACGGAUCAGCUGAGCGCG
rnacentral:rRNA from 1 species